AGAGUUUGAUCAUGGCUCAGGAUAANNCUGNNGGCGUGCCUAACACAUGCAAGUCGAACGCGUCGAGAAGGAAACUUCUCGACGAGUGGCGGACGGGUGAGUAACACGUGGGUGAUCUACCUUGAGGUGAGGAAUACCGGCGAGAAAUCGCCGACAAGACCGCAUACGUUUGGAAACAAACAAAGCUCUCGCAAGAAGCGCCACAAGAUGAGCCUGCGCCCGAUUAGCUUUGUUGGUGGGGUAAAAGCCUACCAAGGCGACAAUCGGUAGCUGGCUGAGAGGACGGCCAGCCACACUGGGAUUGAGAACGGCCCAGACUCCUACGGGGGGCAGCAGUGAGGAAUUUUCGUCAAUGGGGGCAACCCUGAACGAGCAACGCCGCGUGCAGGAAGAAGGUUUUCGGAUCGUAAACUGCUUUUCUUGGGAAGAGAUGGGACGGUACCCAGGGAAGAAGCCCCGAACUACGUGCCAGCAGCCGCGGUAAUACGUAGGGGGCAAGCGUUGUCCGGAUUUAUUGGCGUAAAGGCACNNNGGCGGUCUUGUGCGUUUCGAGUGACAGGUGGUGGCUCAACUGCCACAGGCCUUGGAAAACGGCAAGACUUGAGGACUUCAGAGGGAUGGGAAUUCCAGGUGGAGGGUGAAAUGCGUAGAGAUCUGGAAGAACACCAAAGGCGAAGNNNGCAUCCUGGGAAGGAUCUGACGCUCGGGUGCGAAAGCUAGGGGAGCAAACAGGAUUAGAUACCCUAGUAGUCC
rnacentral:rRNA from 1 species